rnacentral:lncRNA from 1 species
CUUUAAGACUGGAAGGAGGAAGAGGGCCCGCCUGAGCUGGGAGACUGAAAAUUUUCAUGACAAGAGUGGCUUUUCACCUUUCAUUCUUGGAAUUGUGACUGAAGUUACACAAAGAUUAAGCAAGUUUUUAAUCCAAAGCGUAAGUAAAACUGGUUUUUGUGAGGGAGGUGGAAACUGGCUGAGAGGUGUUCUUUGACCACAGAUAUAGUAUUAGGAAUUUAUGGUGGGCUCCAAGUAGCUACAGUGACUGGUCAAAAUGAUGAACAAAGUUACUUGUAAGCCACGAUUGUGAGUCCCUAUCUUGAAAGCCUGGUAUGCUGAAUUAUGUACUUCCUUUCUCGGUCACCAUUAACUGAGCCCUCUCUCUUGGGGAUUUUUCUGAGGAAACUUAAAAAUCAUUACUCAUUGAGGUCUGGAGGAAUAGCCUGAUCUCUUCGGUUUAGAAUGUUGAGGUUUCAACUGGCUUGGGGGCUAGAAAGCUCUACUCCCAGGCAGGAUAAUUUGUUGAGUUAUUUGUCUUUGUUUCCUUUAUACUUUACUCAACAUUCCAAGCAGGUGGCCAAGUCUUUCUCCUUCCUUGUUGCAGAACCCAAAGAAGUAGUUGGCAGAGCACCUCCCUUCCUGCCAUUUUCCCCCUUGGCCUCAAGGGAUUUGAGCAUAACGUGCUAGGGAAAGGAGUAAAGUCUUUGAUAAUGAGAGCUAAGAUUGUUCCUGAAAGGGAGAAAUGGAUAUCCUUACUUUUUGUAAAUAAUGGGGCUCUGUCAUCCACCCUCCUUAGAACCUCAGAAAGAUGACAGAACUGCUCAGGAUGAUGACUGCAUGUGGAGCUAGGAAGGUCUUCCUGGAUUUUUGAGUUCUUGGCUUUCAGCUCUGACAAUGGCAUUGAAUGCACAAUGCCGUGAAUGUCCUAUGUGUCACUAAGGCUGAAGAAAAUCUAGGGUUCAUCCUAGAAAAGGAACCACUUCUGAACCAAGCCACCUUGGACAGGGAUACAUUCAAGGUCAGCAUGAUGAAUAGGAAUCAGCACAGCAUAGUUGGAAGAUCAUGAGCCUCGGAAUCAGCAAUGGAUUCAAAUUUCACAUCUCACAACAAACUCUAGUUUCUCAUCUUUACUGGGACAAAAAUAAAAAUAUUGAAUUCAGAGUCCUUUUUGAGGCAUACAUGCAACAAAGGGAAAGGACUCCAUAUAGUACGGUGCUAAGGGUACACAGGGUGGGAUACGUGUGACAAGUUAUGAGGAAUGUGGCAUUUAGUUGGAACAGGAGAAGGAGGGUGCCUUCCUCCUGCUCACUGAGUAAAGCAGAAAAGUUUCAGGACUCUGCUUUCCCCUCCUCUCUUCCAAAGUUGCUGCCCAGCCCCUCCUUGGCACAGUUGCUCUGUAGGCUUUGCCCUGAUAUUGCCCCAGCUCCCUGCUCCAAGGUAGAGGGUAGGAGGGGCCUGGCUUAUGUAAAUGAGGCCCAGACUUGGGAGACAUGCUGAAACAUAAAGUUUUUUUGGGGUACAACUAAUAUCCUGAAUCUGGUCCUUUCCCACCAAAGGGCUGGCUUUCCUUAAACGGCUUUGAUCUCUCCUUUCUAUAUUCGCCUCUACACACAUCCAUUCCUAACCCUGAGCUUCUAGAAAGUCUGUGGAUGGGUCCAGCCCCUCCAGGGGCAGCCUUAGUUCGUCCACAACAUUUUGGGAUGUGGUUGUCUCAAAAAUGCCCACUGGAGCAGCAGUGGGGUGAGGCAACACACUAUUCAUUGCUUUCACUUACUAACCUGAACACAAGAAAGUCAGUUUAGGGUUAGAUCACUGGUUCUCCCUCUCCUUCCUUCUGCAUCAGCCACUUGCACAACUAUCCCCAGAAUCAUAAUAUCAGCUGGCAUACAUUAAGUGAACAAUGGGUUUGUAGUCAACCACAAAUCAAACCCAGGGGAUUUAACUUUAUAUUCUAGGCUUUCAGCAUUGCACUAAACCAGAAUAGAGUGCACAAAAAGAUUUUUUUUUUUGUUAGUACCAGGGAUCGAACUCAGGACCUUGGACUUGCGAGACAGGCGUGGUGCCACUGAGCUAAAUCCCUGGCUUCUGGUUUUUUGCUGUUGUUGUUGUUCUGGGGAUCGAACUUGGGACCUUCCACCAUCACUGAGCUAAAUCCCCAGCCCCGCACAAAAAGAUUUUUAAUGAAAUGUAAAGGUCUGAAUUUUAUGUCAUGAUGCCAAUAUCAAUAGUUACUGGGAUUCAAUCAGUAUCUUUUGAAUGAAACUUGUUAUUUUUACAUUCUAUAAUCAGAGUUUGUAUUGGCACAACCAUCUUUGGAAAAUGUAAUUUGCCCCAAACUAUUGGAAGAUGUUAUAAAAAUUAGACUUUUGUAUAAAAUAUUAGAAUUUAUUCUACCAAUGAAAAGAAAGUAAAAUGUACUCACAAAAUUUCCUUCUUAUUUUGGGUUCCACUUGCAUCUUCAAAGCACCACCUAUCUUAAGGAUUGGUGUGGCCUCCAAGUUACAUUGUUUAUAUGUAGAGAAAUCAAAAAGAUUAUGUGAAUAACUUAGGCUUUCAAAGUUGCAUUUUCUCAUAGAUGAAGGAUGUAUUCUAAACUUGAACCUGAUAUUGAAAAACCCAGAGAAGGAGAAAACUGAUUUUGAUUUAAGAUUCAGAGAGAGAGGCAAAAAUCCCUUUGAGUAUCCCUAUGUUUGAGUGGGGUAGCACAAUGAAUAAGUGCAACUGUGUAGUUGUUCCUACACUGUCCUAGAGCCUUUCAGGCCUGACCUUCCUGAAUAUGACUGUCACCAUUUCCCAGCUAUUACUGCAUGGAAGCCUAACAAGAGCACUAUUGGUGAUACCCAUGUGCAACCUACAAACUCUUCUUUUGGCACAGGCUAUGCUGUGACAUGGAACAGAGGUAGGGUGGGCACUGCCAAAUUCCUUCUCCUCACUAAGAUGAGUACAACUGAACACAUAUCCUUGCCCUGUUUACUGGAGAAACAGGGUGGUCACAAAUACUGAAAAAUGAAACUUACACUAUCAGAAAAAAAAUCAGUUCUAAACCACAAAAAUAAUGAAAGUAAAUUUGAAAGCAUGAUAUAGCAUAGUUGAAAGGAGAAUAUUAUGAUUAUUGAGCAUUUUCCACAGUGUACAUUACUUAAUUUCAUAAUAAAUUCUGUAAACUGGGUGUUAGUAUUAUCUUUAUUUUUUGGAUGGGAAAACUGAGGCUUUGAAAAUUGAAAUAAUUUGUCCACAGCACAUAUCUGUCAGUGGUGAAGUUGGAAUUAAAAUCAAGUCUAACUCUAAAAUCACAAUUUUACCUGCUAAGCAAUACUUCUAGGCCCUCUAAGCCUGCUGUUUGUUACUCUUCUGAAGUCUGGUUGAGUUAUUAUCACCCAACUAGUCACACAAACUCAGAAAUCAUUGUUGACAAGGUCUUCUUCAUCUCUCUCACAUCCACUCUUAAUUUCACAUUCAGGAAGGCUCUGCCACAUGCCAGGUAGUACAGAUAUGAUGGCAAAAAAGAUGGUAAAGAUUCCUGCCCAAGGUAAGCAAGUCAGAGUCUUCUCUGGUGUUCUAAAAUUUGGAAUCAGACAAAACACAUAUCACUGUCCUGGUCUGAAGCAGGGAGAUGCUAGGCCAGUAAGCCUGGUGCAGCUGUUUCUUGUUGUAUGGAGAAAUUCAGAGAGAAGUAAGGGGACACUCAGAAAGAAUCACAAUGACAGGUGGAGAGAGGAGCCCGGCAGUAGGGUCCAUGAUUCUGUUUUCAGCUGUUCCUAGGCCAGUUGCACCCUCCUCUCACCACAGCUAUGUGAGCUUUUGAUAAUUUCCACUUCCUGUUUAAAAUGGUGAGAGUUGUAUUUCAGUCACCUGCAACCCAACCUCUGUUGAGUGAUACAAACCACAACAAAAAGGCAUUUGCUAUCUCACCCUAGGAUAACCUAUUUUUACAUGGUGGAACAUAUUCUCAUAGGAGGAUUUCUGAGAGUACUUGCCCUGCUGACGAAAUCUCUCAUUCCAGCCCUGGCCAUCAAUUCACAGGGAAUGACCUAAUCUGCCACCCCAGUACUCCUCGGCCGACCUGCCUGGCCAUAGUUUACUCAUCCACUUCUGGCUCAUGUUGAGCCAAUCAGAAACCCUGUUCAUAGAAUUUUACGUUCAGACUACAAUUUUAUGUGUAGACACAAUUUUAUGUUUAGACUAUUUUUGUUUGGUCUACAUGGGAACAAUUUCAUCAGGGUGGUAUAGGAAAAAGUUCUGCAGAUCCUGGCUUUUCUUUUCUUUUUUCUUUUCUUUUCUUUUCUUCUUUUCUUCUUUUUUCUGUACUGGAGGCUGAACCCAGGGUCUCACCCAUGCUUCCACUCAGGCAAGCACUCUACCACUGAGCUAUAUCCCUAGCCCUCAACUGUAUCUUCAAAGUACAACUCUUCCUUCAAUUUCUUGAGCUGCUUUAGCCUUUUUAAGCAAAUUUAUUCAAUCCUUUUUUUCUCCCUUGAGGUGGCCCAGGUCGAAAUUAGUUUCUUGGAAAGAAAACAAUUUUACUGCCUUUUAAUUCUUCCAGAUUUUAUUUUUAUUUUUUCUUUUUCAAAUCUUUAUUUAAAAAAUUCCUUUGAGGGCCAGGGAUUUAGCUCAGUGGUUCCAGUGGUUGCCUUGCAAGUGCAAGGACCCGAGUUUGAUCCCUGGUACCAAUUAAAAAAAAAUUCCUUUGUUACAAGUUUAAAUUCAAAGUAAUACAAGAGGAUAUUAAUAAAGAAAAUAUUUUUUAAAAAUAGCCUUUUAUGAAAAAUAAAGCAAAAAUUCAUAAUAAAUAAUUUUAAAAUAACAUUAGUUAAUAUACUGUGUGCCAUAAUCUUAAAAGAAUGGCCAAAAUGUUAGAGUACAAGUCAUAGGCAAAAGAAACUCUUACAAAAAAGAUGCCGGAGAGUUAGCUCAGUGGUUCCACCACCUGCUUUGCAAGUGCAAGGACCUGAGUUUGAUCUCCGGUACAAAAAAAAAAAAAAAAAAAAAAAAAAGGAACAAAUAGACAAUAGCAAUGACCUAAGAGGACCUACCAGUAUAAAUGAAACAAAUUAGCAUAUAUAUUGAAAUAUUUUUGAAACCACAGAAUAUAUAAUUUGGGGAAUUAUUAGAACUUCCAGAUUUUAACUUCUUUUAAUUCUUCUAGAUUUUUCUUUAAGUGUAUGUGCAAAUAUAACACAUAAUGUAAUAAUAUAUGUUAUAGAAUUGUAUUCUAUAAGCUGUUUUGUAAUAUAAG